AUGAGAAGCUUGCUUCUCUGAUGUUAGCGGCGGACGGGUGAGUAACACGUGGGUAACCUACCUAUAAGACUGGGAUAACUCCGGGAAACCGGGGCUAAUACCGGAUAAUAUUUUGAACCGCAUGGUUCAAUAGUGAAAGACGGUUUCGGCUGUCACUUAUAGAUGGACCCGCGCCGUAUUAGCUAGUUGGUAAGGUAACGGCUUACCAAGGCGACGAUACGUAGCCGACCUGAGAGGGUGAUCGGCCACACUGGAACUGAGACACGGUCCAGACUCCUACGGGAGGCAGCAGUAGGGAAUCUUCCGCAAUGGGCGAAAGCCUGACGGAGCAACGCCGCGUGAGUGAUGAAGGUCUUCGGAUCGUAAAACUCUGUUGUUAGGGAAGAACAAAUUUGUUAGUAACUGAACAAGUCUUGACGGUACCUAACCAGAAAGCCACGGCUAACUACGUGCCAGCAGCCGCGGUAAUACGUAGGUGGCAAGCGUUAUCCGGAAUUAUUGGGCGUAAAGCGCGCGUAGGCGGUUUCUUAAGUCUGAUGUGAAAGCCCACGGCUCAACCGUGGAGGGUCAUUGGAAACUGGGAAACUUGAGUGCAGAAGAGGAGAGUGGAAUUCCAUGUGUAGCGGUGAAAUGCGCAGAGAUAUGGAGGAACACCAGUGGCGAAGGCGGCUCUCUGGUCUGUAACUGACGCUGAUGUGCGAAAGCGUGGGGAUCAAACAGGAUUAGAUACCCUGGUAGUCCACGCCGUAAACGAUGAGUGCUAAGUGUUAGGGGGUUUCCGCCCCUUAGUGCUGCAGCUAACGCAUUAAGCACUCCGCCUGGGGAGUACGACCGCAAGGUUGAAACUCAAAGGAAUUGACGGGGACCCGCACAAGCGGUGGAGCAUGUGGUUUAAUUCGAAGCAACGCGAAGAACCUUACCAAAUCUUGACAUCCUUUGACCGCUCUAGAGAUAGAGUCUUCCCCUUCGGGGGACAAAGUGACAGGUGGUGCAUGGUUGUCGUCAGCUCGUGUCGUGAGAUGUUGGGUUAAGUCCCGCAACGAGCGCAACCCUUAAGCUUAGUUGCCAUCAUUAAGUUGGGCACUCUAGGUUGACUGCCGGUGACAAACCGGAGGAAGGUGGGGAUGACGUCAAAUCAUCAUGCCCCUUAUGAUUUGGGCUACACACGUGCUACAAUGGAUAAUACAAAGGGCAGCGAAUCCGCGAGGCCAAGCAAAUCCCAUAAAAUUAUUCUCAGUUCGGAUUGUAGUCUGCAACUCGACUACAUGAAGCUGGAAUCGCUAGUAAUCGUAGAUCAGCAUGCUACGGUGAAUACGUUCCCGGGUCUUGUACACACCGCCCGUCACACCACGAGAGUUUGUAACACCCGAAGCCGGUGGAGU
rnacentral:rRNA from 2 species